UACGUAGGGUGCGAGCGUUGUCCGGAAUUACUGGGCGUAAAGAGCUCGUAGGUGGUUUGUCGCCUUGUCCGUGAAAACUCACAGCUUAACUGUGGGCGUGCGGGCGAUACGGGCAGACUGGAGUACUGCAGGGGAGACUGGAAUUCCUGGUGUAGCGGUGGAAUGCGCAGAUAUCAGGAGGAACACCGGUGGCGAAGGCGGGUCUCUGGGCAGUAACUGACGCUGAGGAGCGAAAGCGUGGGGAGCGAACAGG
rnacentral:rRNA from 1 species